GGCAAGUCUGGUGCCAGCAGCCGCGGUAAUUCCAGCUCCAAUAGCGUAUAUUAAACUUGUUGCAGUUAAAAAGCUCGUAGUUGAAUUUUUGCGUGGUGUUAAUAUUGACUAAUGUCGAGAUUGCACUUCGCUUUUGGGAUUUAUCCCUUUUUACUUUGAGAAAAUUAGAGUGUUUCAAGCAGACUUUUGUCUUGAAUACUUCAGCAUGGAAUAAUAGAGUAGGACUUUGGUUCUAUUUUGUUGGUUUGUGAACCUUAGUAAUGGUUAAUAGGAACGGUUGGGGGCAUUCGUAUUUAACUGUCAGAGGUGAAAUUCUUAGAUUUGUUAAAGACGAACUACUGCGAAAGCAUUUGCCAAGGACGUUUUCAUUAAUCAAGAACGAAAGUUAGGGGAUCGAAGACGAUCAGAUACCGU
rnacentral:rRNA from 1 species